rnacentral:lncRNA from 1 species
CUUCUGAUAACCAACAUUUAGAAUGAAAUACUUGUGAAAUAAUAGUCUCGGCUCAACAAAAUAUAUAGAAGUUGAGAGUCUAAGCUCAAUAAGAAACAAAAUUCAGAAUUUACAUAAAGGUCUUAUGUUUAGAGAAACAAAAGACAAAAGAGCUAGUGCAACAGCGGAAGAAAAAAUACGGAGUUGAACCCUAGCCUCAGCUC